ACACAUGGAAACUCUAAAACAAACAUAAUUCAACUUGUAGGCCAGAUUUGAAAAGGAAAUAAUAAAUCCCGAAGCUCAGAUGUCAGACACCGAGGCUGCCAGUACCUCUGGGUCGAUAGUCCAUGUGUUGGAUGAUGCACUGCCGUUGAUCAGAACAGACAGCGUAUACGAGAGAUGUCAGCGAUUCGGGCUAAACAGCCAAUGACCAAGGGAAAGCUGGGACAAAUGAGAGGCUCACACGGUGUAACGAUCGUCAAAAGGAGUAGACCAAGGUGCAGCGUGGUACGUGUUCAUCUUGAAUUUAUUUUAAUUUAGAACACUUCAACAAAAGAACAAACAAUGACAAACGACCAUCACGUCUUGCAGGCUAUA